rnacentral:lncRNA from 1 species
GGGAGAAGGAGGCGCUCGUGGCUAAUGCGGCGCUGGAUACUGUUAGGGUUUUCUGUUUCCACAUUAGCUGGGCUAGGUUAAUUGGGUUUUGGUUUGGGCUAGGUUAAGUGGGUAUUUGGGAUCUGUUUGGGUUAUUGGGCUAUCUGUAAAUGGAUAUUAUUAUUUUUGGACUUUAUUUAUUUUUAUUUGGUUUUUUUUAAUUUUUGAACUGUAUGUGGGCCAGGAAAAUUUGGGCUAUUACACCCAUCCUAGCGACAAAUUAACUCAUUCGUCAACACUACUAAAGUUAAUCCUAAUCUAUUAAGUCUAGAUCGCAACCUUAAUUUUCUCCUUCAAGAAGAAUAAAGAUUAUCAAAUUAAUACAACUUGGUGGUUGGGCAAGCAGAUUAAAUAAGCCUUGGAAUGAAUAAAUAAUUAAC